rnacentral:rRNA from 1 species
GACGAGAGGUGCAAGUUUAUAGCGUGAGGAGUAGGCAUGCAAGUGAAGACAUUAUAUAGUUAAGUGUUUUUAAAACACAUUAAGUUUUAGUUUUUAUUCCUAGUACAGCAGUUAAAUGCGUCAAGUUUAGGAGGACAGCCUUUGGCGAAAGCAACUUUACAUAUAUUUAACUUAAGUUCUAACUUGUAAGUCCAGGGAUCGAAUAGG